rnacentral:rRNA from 1 species
UACGUAGGGUGCAAGCGUUGUCCGGAAUUAUUGGGCGUAAAGAGCUCGUAGGCGGCUUGUCGCGUCGACUGUGAAAUCCCGCGGCUCGAACUGCGGGUCUGCAGUCGAUACGGGCAGGCUAGAGUUCGGUAGGGGGAGACUGGAAUUCCUGGUGUAGCGGUGAAAUGCGCAGAUAUCAGGAGGAACACCGGUGGCGAAGGCGGGUCUCUGGGCCGAUACUGACGCUGAGGAGCGAAAGCGUGGGGAGCGAACAGG